rnacentral:rRNA from 1 species
GAGUUUGAUCCUGGCUCAGGAUGAACGCUGGCGGCGUGCUUAACACAUGCAAGUCGAACGAAGCACUUUGGACAGAUUCUUCGGAUGAAGUCCUUAGUGACUGAGUGGCGGACGGGUGAGUAACGCGUGGGUAACCUGCCUCAUACAGGGGGAUAACAGUUAGAAAUGGCUGCUAAUACCGCAUAAGCGCACAGAGCUGCAUGGCUCGGUGUGAAAAACUCCGGUGGUAUAAGAUGGACCCGCGUUGGAUUAGCUAGUUGGUGAGGUAACGGCCCACCAAGGCGACGAUUGGUAGCCGGACUGAGAGGUUGAACGGCCACAUUGGGACUGAGACACGGCCCAGACUCCUACGGGAAGCAGCAGUGGGGGAUAUUGCACAAUGGGGGAAACCCUGAUGCAGCGACGCCGCGUGGAGGAAGAAGGUUUUCGGAUUGUAAACUCCUGUCGUUAGGGACGAUAAUGACGGUACCUAACAAGAAAGCACCGGCUAACUACGUGCCAGCCGCCGCGGUAAUAC